GGCGGUUCUUGGGUGACGCAACCUGGAAUUGGGCUCCCUCCUCUCUGGUUCCAGGGUGCAUCACCUGAGAACCACU
rfam:Myotis brandtii contig235258, whole genome shotgun sequence.